rnacentral:rRNA from 1 species
GAUGAACGCUGGCGGCGUGCCUAAUACAUGCAAGUCGAGCGAACAGACGAGGAGCUUGCUCCUCUGACGUUAGCGGCGGACGGGUGAGUAACACGUGGAUAACCUACCUAUAAGACUGGGAUAACUUCGGGAAACCGGAGCUAAUACCGGAUAAUAUAUUGAACCGCAUGGUUCAAUAGUGAAAGACGGUUUUGCUGCCACUUAUAGAUGGAUCCGCGCCGCAUUAGCUAGUUGGUAAGGUAACGGCUUACCAAGGCAACGAUGCGUAGCCGACCUGAGAGGGUGGUCGGCCGCACUGGAACUGAGACACGGUCCAGACUCCUACGGGAGGCAGCAGUAGGGAAGCUUCCGCAAUGGGCGAAAGCCGGACGGAGCAACGCCGCGUGAGUGAUGAAGGUCUUCGGAUCGUAGAGCUCUGUUAUUAGGGAAGAACAAAUGUGUAAGUAACUAUGCACGUCUUGACGGUACCUAAUCAGAAAGCCACGGCUAACUACGUG